UACGGGGGGGGCAAGCGUUGUUCGGAAUUACUGGGCGUAAAGGGCUCGUAGGCGGCCAACUAAGUCGGAUGUGAAAUCCCCAGGCUUAACCGGGGAACUGCGUCUGAUACUGGAUGGCUUGAAUCCGGGAGAGGGAUGCGGAAUUCCAGGUGUAGCGGUGAAAUGCGUAGAUAUCUGGAGGAACACCGGUGGCGAAGGCGGCAUCCUGGACCGGCAUUGACGCUGAGGAGCGAAAGCGUGGGGAGCGAACAGG
rnacentral:rRNA from 1 species